CUCUCUGCGUGUUCACAGCGGACCUUGAUUUAAAUGUCCAUACAAUUAAGGCACGCGGUGAAUGCUAAGAACGAG
rnacentral:pre_miRNA from 1 species